ensembl:ncRNA cTel7X.3 ncRNA
AUUAGGCUUAGGCUUAGGCUUAGGCUUAGGCUUAGGCUUAGGCUUAGGCUUAGGCUUAGGCUUAGGCUUAGGCUUAGGCUUAGGCUUAGGCUUAGGCUUAGGCUUAGGCUUAG